CUGAUCAUUCCAUUUCACAUUAUACUAACUUUGUUUUAAACCCUAAAUCAUGUCAUGUCAUUGAUUUGUCAAGAUUUUGUGAGAAUGAGAUGAUGAUUUAUGUUUGUUUCCCUAUUGGUUUGAUAGCCGUGAUGAUGGCAUCUUCCAAUGUAUUAGCUCUAUCUGAUCAUUCUCUUGUUUUAUGACUUGAUCCCUUGACUGCUUAAACUUUUGACUUAGAUUUGAGAGUUCUGAACUAUAUGUUAGUUAUCUUUGGUUUUUAAUUAUUGAGGGUGAAAUGAUGAUUAUAAUAUGUUU
rnacentral:misc_RNA from 1 species